AGGCUACAGAGAAGAACAUGGAAGUACCAAAGGACUUGCUGGUUUCAGAGAAGGCUGGUAGAGCUCUCUAUGAGUGUGAGCUGUGGGAGAUAACCCAGAACUGACAACCACCUAAAGAAGAGGUGGCGAUAAUGGCUCUCCAAGAGGAGGUUGUGAGUCUGAAGGCUUUUAUUCAACAAGGAGGCACUUAGAGGGAAUGCCUGGACCCUGAGAGGACUAAGACGAUAAUUGAGGCCACCCUGAAGCAGUUCCAAGGCCAGACACUCACUCCAGAUUGCUGGGCCAGGCAAUAAAUGCCAAAGUGACAGAACUGAGGUUCCAUAACAAAAACAAAGAUUUUCAAUAAAAUAGAAUAAAAGAUAACAGAAGUGUUGUGUGUUUCUUCCUCUUUAUACUGAUACUAUGGUUGAUUUUAAGUAAACACAAUAGUGAAAUAUUUAUUGAUCAAUGCGGAAAAUAUCAAACCAUAGUAGAAUAUGAA